ACCUAGCCACCAUUCAGUCACAUUGAGCUGAGAGACAUACUAGCGGCGAAUAGAAGUCACAUUGAGAAGUGUGCGAAGAGUGGUCACGUGGGCCAUAUAUAUAGGAGUAAAUGUCUCUUCGUAGUCAUGACCAUGUUCUCACCACUAAACGAGCUUUGUAACGCUCAAGAGUAUCAUCAGUCUUAACCUUGUAGACCCACUUACAAGUGAUGAGACGAGCACGAGGAGGAAGGGAAAUGAGAUUCCACGUGCCGUUGCGGGCAAGGGCAUCAAUCUUCAAUGCCAUGACAUGCACCCAUUUGGGAUGAACAACCUCACGGCAAGAAGACGUCUCGGGAAGAGCUGCACAGUAACCAUAACGGUCAAUAGGCAGAAGUGGGCGAGCUCAAAAGCCAUAAGUACACUAUAAGCUGGAGGCGGUGCGUUGCCAAACGAAAGAAGAUAUAAUAGUCGAGGGAGAUGGCUUAUCAGAAGAAUCCACAACACGCGGACCACGAGUGUAGUAAAGUCGAGGAACAUGAGCAAAAGAAGGAACGUAUAAGAAGUCAAAGUGAGUCAUAACAUUCCCACCAAGUGAUGGGACAAACACGAGGAAGAGAAACAAUAUCCCACAUGCUGAUGCGCUCAAGAGCAACAAUCUCCUCUGCCAUCGCAAGGUGCCAUUUGGUAUGAAUAACAUCACGAUAAGAUGUCGGCUCAAGAACACCAGCGCCAACGCUUGGAAGACCAAGGCGGUCAACAGGCGGAAGCGGACGAGGAAGCAAGCCAUAAGUAGGCCGAGAGGGCUAGUGGCACAUCAAGAGACACAUUCGCAACACGCGGGCGAUAUAUAUAAAUGUGAGGAAAAGAUGGAAGAAUACGAGCAGAAAUAAUCGGGAUAAACUCAGGUGAUGGGAGAGAAGAAGCCACAACCGACGAAGGUGUUGAAUCCUGUGAUAAGCGAGGUGACGAAAUCAUAGGAGAUGAUGGCAUUGGAUCUGCAAUUAUCGGAGAAGCAGGAGCAGUACAACGAAUGGAUAAGGGAGUGAUAGGAGUGUUGGGUAUAAAAAAUAGAUUUCCUCCAUUGAAAAGGUCGAGGAAGAUGGACGCGGGUAGAAGGGAUGAGACUCAUCAAAAGUCAUAUCCCGAGAAAUAGGCAUCCGACGCCCAACAUGAUCCCAAUAAUGAUAUCCCUUAUGCUCAUCGUUGUAUCCUAAGAAGACACACUCAACGGACGGAGCAGUCAGUUUGGUGCGUUCACAUGGGCAAGGACAUAGCAAACAUAACCAAACAAUUGAAGUGCUGAAUAAUCAGGAAAUAAUCAAAUAGACGCUCGAAAGGAGCGCCACCCUGUAGAGCAAUGGAUUGCUGAAGGUUGAUGAGAUAGAUGGAAGUGGAGACAGACUCGGCCCAAAAGUGCGGUGAAAGAGAGGCGGUGACCAUCAAUGGAGGAGCCGUCUCAAUAAGGUGACGAUGCUUGUGCUCAGCCACACCAUUUUGAGCAUGAGCACCAGGAUAAGAGAAGCAAAGUCUGCUCAGCAAGGAUUCCACGCAACAGUUUGGAGAUGUACUCUCCACCAGAGUCACCAUAGAACACAUGAAUAGGCGUAGAGAAUUGAGUGUGAACCAUGGCCGCAAAAGGCUUAUAGAUAAGACCUCACUACGAGAAGAAAUAAAGUAUAUAUCCAGGUGUGUUGAGGGAAGUCACUAGCGGAGGCAAAAGGACAUGAUCCCUCGAGAUCAGAGUGAACAAGGUCUAAAGGAUGCUGAGACACUGUCUCGCUAUGAGUUUAAGGUAACUGGACCACGUAUUAGAGACAUCAUUCGAGGCGGAUCCAAGAAGAUCACGUCGAACUAAGGAUGAGAGAUCACAAGUGACCCAAGGCGAUGAUGCCACUCUUGAAAAUAUCUGGUAGACAAGGCAACAGAGGGAGAGACUGGCGGCACUAACAAUAGAGGGACUUGAUCCGGCAUCCCACUUGCCUGUGCACUCUUCGUACCCCGCCGAUCCGACUGGGUGUUCCUUUCCUGAUUGCGGGUUGUGUGCCACAGCUUGAUUAAGCACCCCAGGUUCUCCUACUGUGCGCCCUUGGCCUCGACUUUAGGUAGCGCCUGUCUUCGGCUCGUCCCGUGCAUAAUCCAGGUACGCGUCGAUUAUCCGAGCUCCUGCUCACCAUUGGUGGCGCUCGAGCGCGCGGUUAUGGUGUCACACAUAAAGGGAACACGGGAUGUGGGAUUGAGACAAUGCUUGUAGCAACCCGCAUCAAGGCAAAGGAUGCCCAUCCAGACUGGUAGGGAGCGGAGGUGGUCACAAAGGUGGACGUUGACUCCAUCGGAGUCUCAACAGUGCACUCAUCAGAAAGAGUAGCACGAGUAAGAAGAUCCUGGACAUACUUCUCUUAGAAAAUAAAGAAGUCAUUAGAGGUAGAAUAAACCUCAAUCUCAAGGAAGUACCAAAGAGGACCAAGAUCGGACAUAAGAAAUUCACUAUGACGAUCCUUCACCAAGGUAAUGUUCUUACAGUCGUUGCUAGUGAUGAUCAACAUGUAGAAGAAGUGUUUGACCACGAGCUGAAUGGUGGAUCGAAAGUGUAGUAUAAUGAGCACUCGCCAAAAACUAGCCGCAAUCACCACUGAGACAAAGCGCUCAAACCAGGCCUGAGGUGUUUGCUUAGGGCCAUAUAGACAGUGAUGAAGACGACAAACCAUGCCAUUAGGAAGAGAACCUAGGUGGUGGCUACUUGUAGGCAUUCUUGACAUCAAGCUGAGAGACAGACUAGCGGCGAAUAGAAGCCAUAUUGAGAAGUGUGCGAAGAGUGGUCACGUGGGCCAUAUAUAUAGGAGUAAAUGUCUCUUCGUAGUCAUGACCAUGUUCUCACCACUAAACGAGCUUUGUAACGCUCAAGAGUAUCAUCAGUCUCAACCUUGUAGACCCACUUACAAGUGAUGAGACGAGCACGAGGAGGAAGGGAAAUGAGAUUCCACGUGCCGUUGCGGGCAAGAGCAUCAAUCUUCGAUGCCAUGACAUGCAGCCAUUUGGGAUGAACAACCUCACGACAAUAAGCGGGCGAGCUCGAAAGCGGUCAUUAGACAGAAGCGGGCGAGCUCGAAAGCCAUAAGUAGAGUAAGCCGGAGGCGGUGCGUUGCCAAACGAAAGUCGAGGGAGAUGGCUUAUGAGAAGAAUCCACAACACGCGGACCACGAGUGUUGUAAAGUCGAGGAACAUGCGCAAAAGAAGGAAUGUAUAAAAGGUCAAAGUGAGUCAUAACAUUCCCACCAAGUGAUGGGACGAAUACGAGGAGGAAGAGAAACAAUAUCCCACAUGCUGAUGCGCUCAAGAGCAACAAUCUCCUCUGCCAUCGCAAGGUGCCAUUUGGUAUGAAUAACAUCACGAUAAGAAGUCGGCUCAAGAACACCAGCACCAACGGUUGGAAGUCCAAGGCGGUCAACAGGCGGAAGCGGACGAGGAAGCAAGCCAUAAGUAGGCUGAGAGGGGAUGUGGCACAUCAGUAGACACAUUCGCAACGCGCGGACGAUGUAUAUAAAAGUGAGGAAAAGAUGGAAGAAUACAAGUCGAAAUUAUAGGGAUAAACUCAGGUGAUUUAGAGAAGGAAGCCACAACCGAUGAAGGUGUAGAAUCCUGUGAUAAGCGAGGUGAGGAAAUCAUAGGAGAUGAUGGCAUUGGAUCUGCAAUUAUCGGACAAGCAGGAGCAGUACAACAAAUGGAUAAGGGAGUGAUAGGAGUGUUGGAUUUGAAAAAAAAUAUAGAUUUCCUCCAUUGAAAAGGUCAAGGAAGAUGGACGCGGGUAGAAGGGAUGAGACUCAUCAAAAGUCAUAUCCCGAGAAAUAGGCAUCCGACGCCCAACAUGAUCCCAAUAAUGAUAUCCCUUAUGCUCAUCGUUGUAUCCUAAGAAGACACACUCAACGGACUGAGCAGUCAGUUUGGUACGUUCAUGUGGGCAAGAAGGACAUAGCAAACGCAACCAAACAAUUGAAGUGCCGAAUAAUCAGGAAAUAAUCAAAUAGACGCUCGAAAGGAGCGCCACCCUGCAGAGCAAUGGAUUGCUGAAGGUUGAUGAGAUGGAUGGAAGUGGAGACAGACUCGGCCCAAAAGUGCGUUGGAAGAGAGGCGGUGACCAUCAAUGGAGGAGCCAUCUCAAGAAGGUGACGGUGAUUGCGCUCAGCCACGCCAUUUUGAGGUUGAGCACCAGGAUAAGAGAACUAAAGUCUGCUCAGCAAGGAUUCCACGCAACAGCUUGGAGAUAUACUCUCCACCAGAGUCACCAUAGAACACAUGAAUAGGCGUAGAGAAUUGAGUGUGAAUCAGGGCAGGAAAAGGGUUAUAGAUAAGACCUCACUACGAGAAGAAAUAAAGUAUAUAUCCAGGUGUUUUGAGAGAAGUCACUAGCGGAGGCAAAAGGAGAUGAUCCCUCGAGAUCAGAGUGAACAAGGUCUAAAGGAUUCUGAGAUACUGUCUCGCUAUGAGUAUAAGGUAACUGGACCACGUAUUAGAGACAUCAUCGGAGACGGAUCCAAGAAGAUCACGUCGAACUAAGGAUGAGAGAUCACAAGUGACCCAAGGCGAUGAUGCCACUCUUGAAAAUAUCUGGUAGACAAGGCAACAGAGGCAGAGACUGGCCGUACUGGCAGUAGAGGGACUUGAUCCGGCAUCCCACUUGCCUGUGCACUCUUCGUACCCCGCUGAUCUGGCUGGGUGUUCCUUUCCUGAUUGCGGGUUGGUUGCCACGUGCUUGAUUAAGCACCCCAGGUUCUCCUACUGUGCGCCCUUGGCAUCAACAUGUGAAAUCGACUGCAGAGGGUUCGGGCCUGGGGCAUCGCAUCUUCCUGCCGGUGGAAGGCAUGCGUCCCCUCGAGGCUGGUACAGAUUCUGGCAAGGACAGAGUUUCUCAGCCCUUUCUCAUUGCGUGUGUAUUCUUUAAAGUCACGUAUAUUUUUCAGUAAUGCUCCCAAAUCUCUGCUCACUCCAGAAGUCCAGAUACAGUGCAUCACGUAAUUUUCUUGUUUAGUUGCCAUUAGCUAACUUCACAGAAUCCAAGUUGGAUUUGUUUGAACGACAAUGUCUCGAGCUUUUGGGAAGCAACACUAAUUACAAGCUUAGCUAGCGCCUUACCAACACUUUGCUAUUGUGAGGAUUUGCAUCCUACCUCUACCCCUAUGUCACAAGUAAAAUUAUUGUGAUUAUCCAUAUGAUGACAUGAGUAAUUUAACUUUUGUUCUGUGUUUCAUGUUGUCUGGAGCAAUGCUUGGCUCCUAGCAGUUUCCAGAUGGAUUUAUUUCCAUUGCAAUGAGAACGACUGUCAACAUUUGCUGAAUUUUUGGUCGACUCAACCCACAAACCAAGAGGACUUAACCCUCUUCUCCUUGAUAGUCCAGCAAUCAGCAAGUUGAAAAGAUUUAAAUCAAGGUUCCAUGAUAUUCUAAUGAAUCUCCCUGUAAGGGAGGCUUUUCAGAUAUUCCAUUUCAAACUAAAGGGCUUGACAGACCAGUUUUUAUCCGGAAGAAAGGCCUUUAGUGUGCGUUUGGAUCUGAAGAAACAAAGCAAGAUAUGGUUGUCAUUCCUCCUAACUUGGCUAGUUACUAGUAUCUCCUUGAUCCUUUGAUAAGGUAGUCUUGGCGAGUGUUUGGGCAAUAGAGAACAUAACUUGGCAAUUUUUGUACAUGUUUCAGGAUUAGAAGCUUAAAUUCUGAAUUUUAUAGUUCAGGAGUAGCUACCUCCUGAUGUACCGGUGUAAUUUAAUAGUUUCAUCGAAUGUGAAUCAGAAGUAUAUGUUGUUAACAUAGUUGGGUAUACAUAUCAUGUCAUCUUUCUUUUCUAA